ACGCAUAAAUAAAGAUAAGGGUCAAAGUCAAUGGUACAUAAGUAAUCAAGUUUAAACAUCAAUUAAAAGUAAAUUGCCCUAAUAUGUCGGCAAACUUAAAUGUGAAAUCAAACCCAAUAAAAAAUAACAUAAGUGUUCAUCCUCUGCUAUUCCCUCCGAGUCCUGUGACAUGGUUGACAGUCAUUGUCGUUCUUGCAAGAUGCCUCCGUUGUGGUACCUUUUAUAUAACCUGGUGGGUCCGAGUAAAUCUUAAUUCAUGCUCAAACAUUAGAACUUGUAACAUUACUAUAACAUUAUGGUUAGAAAUAUAACAUUAGUAUACAUGACUUGAUUUGCUUAAACUUUUCGUCUAGACCUCCCUAACUCCACUAACUAGUCCAACCACCCAAACAGGAAUAUAAGCAUUUGGGAGUACGUAUCCAUCUGACAAUAUAACAUGACAGGCAUCAUCGGACGGGCAUCAUCUGACCCAAACUGAAACAUGAAGGUGAAAUAGGGACGGUGGCCUAGCUUAAGAGACGUAUAAUUAUUUCACCUAUUAUAGAUUUACAUGAAGUUGUAAAGUUAAUAGACAUAAUGUGAACGAAUUCUAUAACAUAAUAUAUACAUGACAUAAAUUAAAUACUGCAAUAGUAAGAAUUUAUCCAUUUAAACCAAUCCGCCUGAUAAUCCAGCGGUGAGAGUAUGGUUGAGGAAAAUAAGAUAAGCACUAGAACUGGGCGCCUUUAAGAACCUAAAGAUGUUGAUUUAACAUUAGGUUGAGAAACUGUAACAGUCGACGAGUAUGGGUUGAUAUUUGCACUCGAGGAAAUCUCUCCUCGUUUAAAUGUGAAGUGACGGGAAGAGACCAUUUCGAACUAUAUUCGAGUUAAAGAAGAAGAACCUAUCUUAGGUGGAGCUACCUUAAUCAUGGAGUUCAAAGGGGUAGUUAAAAAGUAUUUUUUCUAUCAUUUUUUAAAAUAGGUAAGAAUCUAAUUAUUUUAGGUGAAAAGAAUAUUAAAUUCCUAAUUGAACUAAAAAAAAUUUAAUUCCACCGUAAAAUCAUAAUACAUAAAAUCAUCUAAUUUUAAUGAAAACUAAGAGAUUUAUAAUACCAAUAUGGACUAACAACAUUAUCAUUUUCACAAUCUAAUUAAGGUCGAUUCUAGAGUCGAAGAGAAAGAUAAUAAGAUUUCUAAUUGAAAAGGCCUGAUUUGCAUAACUAAGAAAGUUAGUUGGGCCGAAACUGGUAAGAACUGAAAGUUAUGGACUACGGAGGCCUAACAGAUUGAUUGGAGAGCAAUUUUAAAUAUUAGUGACUGAAGCUGUGCACGAAAACUCGAACCGGCUUAACCAAAUCCGUUUCGGUUCCGUUUCGGUUCAACUGUUGUCUUCAACCCAGACAUCGUCGGACUCCGGCCGAAAAUUUCCAGAUUCUGGCGGGGAUAAUAACUUGACCAAAGCACAACCUAAAUUAGAUUUAGAUGCUACCAAUCGAUUCCUAACCUUAAUACGAAGCUUUCCCAUUAGAUUAAAGGGAUUGAAUCGGUCCGAAUCAACAACUUGAAACUUUGAGAUCAGCCGCCGCGAGCUCUAUUUCAAAGAGAGUCCAGGAACCAAUCUUGAAUCGAUAGGGCUAUGGUGCAAACAUCACGGAAUUAUGUCAAAUUAUAAGGGGAAGACAACCCCUUACCUAAACUUCGAAGAACUCAUGAUUUUCAAAAACGAACAAGAGCUCUGGCCGCAGUCAAAAGCUUAUCGUGAGCUCCUGGAAUCAAUUUGUAAUCUGGUCGUGUAAAGCGUAACAAAUUAGGAAGUCUACAAGAUCCCAGAUAAGAGAAUGGACGAGAAUAUGGCCUCAACAUUACCUCUGGAGUUUCCGGAUUCUGGGAAGCGGUGGAGGACGUCGCCGACGUUCGUCCCAAUAUUGUAGGAGAGUGAGAUUUUGAGUGCGGGAGGUCUUCUUGGCGGCGGGGAAUUUUGGUAGGGGUUAAGGGUUCAAAAGGUCGAGUUUAAAUAGAGGAGGGAGUCGAUCUAACAGUUCAUCGAAAGGUUC
rnacentral:lncRNA from 1 species